rnacentral:rRNA from 1 species
UAUAGAGGUCUCAAGCGUUGUUCGGAUUCAUUGGGCGUAAAGGGCGCGUAGGCGGCGGGGUAAGUCGGGUGUGAAAUCUCAGGGCUCAACCCUGAAACUGCACUCGAUACUGCUCUGCUUGAGGACUGGAGAGGAGACUGGAAUUCCUGGUGUAGCGGUGAAAUGCGCAGAUAUCAGGAGGAACACCGAUGGCGAAGGCAGGUCUCUGGGC